rnacentral:rRNA from 1 species
CUGGCGGCCCGUGGGAAACCACCGGGGUACGGUAACAGAUGAAGGGAUAACGUGAGGCCUCAGAGGCCUUGGGGAAAUGGGUGAUCCGCAGCGAAGCCCCUAACGGCCGCGUGGCCCAUGGGGAACGUUCACAGACUAAGCGGAAGUGGGUAGGGCGCCAGUCGCCCUGCUUAAGAUGUAGUCGGGCCUCGGGGGAAACCUCAAGGGCGGUGAUCACAGAUUGCAAAAGGGGAACAUUGGGGAGGAGAAGGUGCAAUGGUACUAUGCUAUGCUAUCUCUUGUGCUAGGCGCCAAUAUGCCACUCUCAGUGCGCAUCGCGCGCCUGUGUGCAGAACUUGGCAAGGCGCAUUGCUAUCCUCAACCCAACGCUUCCUCUCUUGCCCUCUGUGGUCGCGAAGCAAGACCGUUCCGUAGGUGAACCUGCGGAAGGAUCAUUA